rnacentral:rRNA from 1 species
UACGUAGGGUGCAAGCGUUGUCCGGAAUCAUUGGGCGUAAAGAGCGUGUAGGCGGCCUGAUCAGUCCGCUGUAAAAGUCCAGGGCUCAACCCUGGAAGGCCGGUGGAUACUGUCAGGCUAGAGUCCGGAAGAGGCGAGUGGAAUUCCUGGUGUAGCGGUGAAAUGCGCAGAUAUCAGGAGGAACACCAAUGGCGAAGGCAGCUCGCUGGGACGGUACUGACGCUGAGGAGCGAAAGCGUGGGGAGCGAACAGG